GGUUAGCCACAUUCUACCUGCUGAAGUUGCCUGCACGCACAGCCAGGAGUCAGGCUGUCGGGACCCACAAGUCAGCCAACUGCUGUGAAGCGAUACUGCUGAAGGGAAAUCCUUGAUGGGUCUUGCAAGAGAACUACAAGCUGCAACCUGGAUUAACCCAGGCUGUUUAUCAGCCUCAGCUGCUCAUCCACUCUCUUCCAGGCAGCUGGGCAAAAACUCCAGGACUGCCACUCCCCACUGCCUAAAAGGGCCAAAGGGAGCACUGAGGAUUCCUGAUCAGGACAUGGCCCUUUUUCCCAGAAGAGGGAUUAAGUGUGCCUUGACAAAGUUUCCCAUCCAGUUCUCUUCCUUGGAGGCUGAGGUGGACAUGAAAAGGGACCUGAAAUGUCCAUCUACAUCCUUAAAAGGAUAAAUGGACUGGCAACAAAUAUGUCUGUGUUCUUGGUCAAAUUAUGGUCACAAUGCCAACUUGAGAUGGUCACCACAUAUAGAAAGAGAUCACAUGGGAAAGUGUGUACUAAACAGCCUGGCACAUGGCCAGAUCUCUCUCUCUCUCCAUCAACAAUCAUGGCUGAAAAGGAAGAGGCACAAAUUCCGUCCCAACAGGACUUUGUCUUUUGUGGAUCACACGUUCACCUCUCAGACCAGGAAUCAGAAAGCAUUCAAUGAUAGACCCAUUUCAGCCUGGCUCCUGUUUUUCAAUAGCAGAUGAACUAUAAAAUGUUUGGUCAUGUGUAAAUGCCUG
rnacentral:lncRNA from 1 species